UACGGGGGGAGCAAGCGUUGUUCGGAUUUACUGGGCGUAAAGGGCGCGUAGGCGGCCACCGCAAGUCAGUUGUGAAAUCUCUGGGCUUAACCCAGAACGGUCAGCUGAUACUGCGGGGCUAGAGUGCAGAAGGGGCAACUGGAAUUCUCGGUGUAGCGGUGAAAUGCGUAGAUAUCGAGAGGAACACCUGCGGCGAAGGCGGGUUGCUGGGCUGACACUGACGCUGAGGCGCGAAAGCUAGGGGAGCAAACGGG
rnacentral:rRNA from 1 species